CUCCAAUGAUGACUUCGUUUUUGUGCCUCGUGUCUGGGCCACUGAAUGUUCAUGAUGGUGUUGAGGAACUGACGGAG